rnacentral:rRNA from 1 species
GGAGGGGUUCGCGUCCUAUUAGCUAGUUGGCGGGAUAACAGCCCACCAAGGCGACGAUGGGUAGCCGGACUGAGAGGUUGAACGGCCACACUGGAACUGAGAGACGGUCCAGACUCCUACGGGAGGCAGCAGUGGGGAAUAUUGGGCAAUGGGGGAAACCCUGACCCAGCAACGCCGCGUGAGGGAAGAAGGUUUUCGGAUUGUAAACCUCUGUCGCCAGGGACGAAAGAAAUGACGGUACCUGGUAAGAAAGCCCCGGCAAACUACGUGCCAGCAGCCGCGGUAAUACGUAGGGGGCGAGCGUUGUCCGGAAUUACUGGGCGUAAAGGGUGCGUAGGCGGUUUUACAAGUCGGAUGUGGAAUACCCGGGCUUAACCCGGGGGUGUCAUUCGAAACUGUAAGACUUGAGUGCAGAAGAGGAAAGUGGAAUUCCCAGUGUAGCGGUGAAAUGCGUAGAUAUUGGGAGGAACACCAGUGGCGAAGGCGACUUUCUGGGCUGUAACUGACGCUGAGGCACGAAAGCGUGGGGAGCAAACAGGAUUAGAUACCCUGGUAGUCCACGCUGUAAACGAUGAAUGCUAGGUUAGGGGGUAUCGACCCCCCUGUGCCGGAGCAAACGCAAUAA